GCGUACAUUCCCAACUUUUCUGCUGCUAGACGGUCCAAGACGGAACAGUAAACAAGCAACAGCCUUGGCGGAAAAUGCAGUUACGCACGCUGGGGAUGAACGGCUUAGAGCAGAACCUUCUUUCUCGGGAAAGUUUGGACGCUUUAGAGGAAGAAAUUGCCAUAUUACACAACUUGGCCUGCACGGCUGGCUGCGGGAGGUGCAGCGAUCCAUCAGCAGAGCUCUGCCAUUAGAAAGCCAUCUGUAAGCCGCAGCGUGCCAGUGGCGCUCACGGUCUCAAGAAGGUCCCGCCUGCUGAACAAUUCAGCGUGAUUGAUAUGAAUCGUU